AACGAACGCUGGCGGCAGGCUUAACACAUGCAAGUCGAACGCCCCGCAAGGGGAGUGGCGGACAGGUGAGGAACACGGGGGAAUCUGCCCAAGGGUACGGAAUAAUUCCGGGAAACAGGGACUAAUAACGGAAGUGCCCGCAAGGUGAAAGAUUGAUCGCCAUUGGAUGAACGCGCGUCGGAUUAGCCAGGUGGUGAGGUAAAGGCUUACCAAGGCGAGGAUCCGUAGCUGGUAUGAGAGGAUGAUCAGCGACACUGGGACUGAGACACGGCCCAGACUACUACGGGAGGCAGCAGUGGGGAAUAUUGGACAAUGGGCGCAAGCCUGAUCCAGCCAUGCCGCGUGAGUGCUGAAGGCCUUAGGGUUGUAAAGCUCUUUAGCCGACGAAGAUAAUGACGGUAGUCGGAGAAGAAGCCCCGGCUAACUUCGUGCCAGCAGCCGCGGUAAAAC
rnacentral:rRNA from 1 species